rnacentral:rRNA from 1 species
GAUGAACGCUAGCUACAGGCUUAACACAUGCAAGUCGAGGGGAAACGAUAGAGAAAGCUUGCUUUUUCUAGGCGUCGACCGGCGCACGGGUGAGUAACGCGUAUCCAACCUGCCCAUCACUUGGGGAUAACCUUGCGAAAGUAAGACUAAUACCCAAUGACGUCCAUAGAAGACAUCUGAAAGGGAUUAAAGAUUUAUCGGUGAUGGAUGGGGAUGCGUCUGAUUAGCUUGUUGGCGGGGUAACGGCCCACCAAGGCGACGAUCAGUAGGGGUUCUGAGAGGAAGGUCCCCCACAUUGGAACUGAGACACGGUCCAAACUCCUACGGGAGGCAGCAGUGAGGAAUAUUGGUCAAUGGGCGAGAGCCUGAACCAGCCAAGUAGCGUGCAGGAUGACGGCCCUAUGGGUUGUAAACUGCUUUUAUAAGGGAAUAAAGUGAGCCUCGAGAGGCUCUUUGCAUGUACCUUAUGAAUAAGGACCGGCUAAUUCCGUGCCAGCCGCCGCAGUAA